AUAUUGCACAAUGGGCGCAAGCCUGAUGCAGCAACGCCGCGUGAGGGAUGACGGCCUUCGGGUUGUAAACCUCUUUUAGUAGGGAAGAAGCGAAAGUGACGGUACCUGCAGAAAAAGCACCGGCUAACUACGUGCCAGCAGCCGCGGUAAUACGUAGGGUGCAAGCGUUGUCCGGAAUUAUUGGGCGUAAAGAGCUCGUAGGCGGCUUGUCCCGUCUGCUGUGAAAUCCCGAGGCUUAACCUCGGGCCUGCAGUGGGUACGGGCAAGCUAGAGUGCGGGAGGGGAGGUUGGAAUUCCUGGUGUAACGGUGGAAUGCGCAGAUAUCAGGAGGAACACCGAUGGCGAAGGCAAAUCCCUGGGCCGUAACUGACGCUGAGGAGCGAAAGCAUGGGGAGCGAACA
rnacentral:rRNA from 1 species